GUGAUGUGCAACGUUUUUAUGAAAAUGCCAGUCCAGUCACUUUCCUCUAGUUUGUCCCUCAAGUAGUGUUCCCAUUUUGAUGUGUAGUGUGGGCAAUUAGGGCAAGCAGUGGCAAUGAACUAUGAAUACAAGAUCAAGCCUGGUCUCUUAUGCGAUAGUCUAUAGUUAAGUUCAUAGAAAAUGCAUUCCCCCUUAGGAUAAGCCUUUAGAUUAAAAAUGCACAACAUAGAGGGGCUGAUUUGCCUGAAAAAGAUUCAGAGGGAGGAAGGUGGACUUCUCCACCAGAUGCACAUAUCAGAUGUCUGACCUCUGUGAUGCCUUUUUAAAUCUACCAUUGAAAGGCUAAAGGGGUUAACCCCUCUGGGAACCCAUGGUUACAGAAGAGACAGGGAAAGUAAUGACUUCAGAGAAAAGGCUCCAUAGCACCCAAUACUUUCUCCACAGUCGUAAGGAGUGUUGCAGAACAAGACUAGGGUGGGAUUGUAUAAGGGCAGCAUUAGAAUACCAUAGGACGGAGCGCAAUGGACCAGUAAGAUUAAAUCCAUUUUGCCCUGUAUCAAGACAGAUUUCUUUGAGAUAACAUAGUGAACCGAGCUGCCUUGUAGUAGGUGUAAAAAUUUAUUUUAUAGCGUGACCGGUAAAUCAAGGUGAAAAAUCAUUGAUCAGUAGUUUACUCCAACCAUAUUUGCCCAGCGCAGAGUUAUGUGGAUUCCUAGAGAUACAAUUGCUUCAGUGCACCGUUGGAAGGGAAAGGACGGUGUUCAACCUGUGUCUGUGACAAAGUCAGAUUCAAUGCUUUACUUUUGUAGUGGUUAU